AAUCAACGCUGGCGGCGUGCCUCAGACAUGCAAGUCGAACGAUUAAACUUCCCUUUGGGGCAGAUAUAGAGUGGCGCACGGGUGAGUAACACGUAGGUAUUGUACCUCUGGGUGGGGAAUAACUUAGGGAAACUUAAGCUAAUACCGCAUAAUGCAUCGGCUCCUUCGGGAGUCAGUUGUUAAAGAUUUAUUGCCUAAAGAGCAGCCUGCGGCAGAUUAGCUAGUUGGUAAGGUAACGGCUUACCAAGGCUCCGAUCUGUAACCGACCUGAGAGGGUGGUCGCACACACUGACACUGAAUAACGGUACAGACUCCUACGGAAGGCAGCAGUCGGGAAUUUUGGACAAUGGGCGGAAGCCUGACGCAGCAACGCCGCGUGAAGGCUGAAAUCUUUCAAGAUGAAAACUGCAUAAGAAUAGGAAGGAUAUAUGACGAUACAAUCAGUAAGGUCCGGCUAACUACGUG
rnacentral:rRNA from 1 species